rnacentral:rRNA from 1 species
GACGAACGCUGGCGGCGUGCUUAACACAUGCAAGUCGAGCGGUAAGGCCCUUUCGGGGGUACACGAGCGGCGAACGGGUGAGUAACACGUGGGUGACCUGCCUUUAGCUCUGGGAUAAGCCUGGGAAACCGGGUCUAAUACCGGAUAUGACUCCGCGGCGCAUGUUGUGGGGUGGAAAGCCUUGUGCGGCUGGAGAUGGGCCCGCGGCCUAUCAGCUUGUUGGUGGGUGAUGGCCUACCAAGGCGACGACGGGUAGCCGGCCUGAGAGGGCGACCGGCCACACUGGGACUGAGACACGGCCCAGACUCCUACGGGAGGCAGCAGUGGGGAAUCUUGCGCAAUGGGCGAAAGCCUGACGCAGCGACGCCGCGUGAGGGAUGACGGCCU